ACAGCAGCAGCCGCGGGAAUACGAAGGGUGCAAGCGUUAAUCGGAAUUACUGGGCGUAAAGCGUGCGUAGGCGGUUUGUUAAGUCUGUUGUGAAAUCCCCGGGCUCAACCUGGGAAUGGCAAUGGAUACUGGCAAGCUAGAGUGUGUCAGAGGAUGGUGGAAUUCCCGGUGUAGCGGUGAAAUGCGUAGAGAUCGGGAGGAACAUCAGUGGCGAAGGCGGCCAUCUGGGACAACACUGACGCUGAGGCACGAAAGCGUGGGGAGCAAACAGGAUUAGAUACCCGGGUAGUCCCUGUCUCUUAUAC
rnacentral:rRNA from 1 species